GUAUGCUAUAUUCUUUUUAAAAGUAACCAUGGCCGGGAUUUCAAGUUAAUCCAUUGUUGGGAAGAACUACGCAAAUGCACAAAAUGACAUCUUUCCAUCUAUGAACGACAAAACCGAGGAGAUGGUAGAAGAGGUAGGCCUGCAAAUUCUAGAAUACAGGCAUCAAACACUCUAUCCAGAAUGCCAUCAGUCAAUCUUUCUGCAUCUUCACAUCCAGGUUUGGAUGGCAUAGGCGAUUCUAACAAUAAUAUUAGCAUUCCUACAACCCCUACAUCUGGUACACCCAACACUGCUUCCAAAAAUUCACAGCCUCUUCACGUCCUUCCGGAAAGGCAUAUUGAAAGACCAUUAGGGCGGAAAUCUGCAAAGGAGAAACGUCGUCGUUCUGUGGGUACAAGCUCCCAAGCCUCUGAUGCUGCAAGUGAAAGAUUACAUUCAACCAUCUGUGCUUGGAAGCAUAAAUCUGAGUCAAGAUUAGAAUCAAUGAAACAAAUAAAUGAAGAGCAAUAGUUCCAUGCUAUUAAGUUUGCUAAGCUUGAGAAGAUUCAAAAGAGUAUACAAAUAACAAAAGAUCUUGUGAAUACUGAGAAGGAUUUGCUGUCCUUGAUUCCAGAACUCCCUACCGAUGAGGUCGCUGCUAAAGUAUUUGCUAGAAUGAGGCAGCUUGAUGAGUUGGACAAAGAGCACCAACGCAUUCGAGCUAUGGAAUUCUCACCUAGAGCAUCAGUAAGAAUUCGUGAUGAAAUGCAAGGGAAUAAUAUUAAUCCAUGCAACCUCGAGAGCAGGUUUGAUGAUGCUGAGUCAAUGGGGGAUCGUACUUGAACAACAAGUAUGAUCUGUUUGGAACAAACAUGCAUUUGUAAACAUGUGCUUGCAUGGUAUCCCUUCAUUAUUACUUGCACUAUUUGACAGCCUGUUAGUAAUGUUUGUAGUUAGCUUGAAGGAUUACAAUUGGGUGGAAGAAUGUACUUAUUUACUUGCACUAUUUCACAAGAUUAUGAAUUUGAAGAAUGACAAUAAAGGAUGAUGCAUGUUUGUAGUAUACUUGAUGGAUUUUGUAAAUUAUUGUACGAAAUAGCCAAACUUGUUUUGUGCUUUUGUUG